UACGGAGGGGGCGAGCGUUAUUCGGAAUUAUUGGGCGUAAAGGGCGCGUAGGCGGCUGUACAAGUCAAAGGUGAAAUCCCUCGGCUCAACUGAGGAACUGCCUUUGAAACUGUACGGCUUGAGGCCGGGAGGGGGUAGCGGAAUUCCCAGUGUAGCGGUGAAAUGCGUAGAUAUUGGGAGGAACACCAGCGGCGAAGGCGGCUACCUGGGCUUCUUCUGACACUGAGGUACGAAAGCGUGGGGAGCGAACAGG
rnacentral:rRNA from 1 species